CAAAGAAAGGAUUGAUUUGGCUUAUACUUCCAGGUGACUGUCCAUCACUGAGGGAAGUCAGCUCAGGACCUCUGUCAACAUCGUGGAGGUCAAGGAGUAAUGCUGAAUACUUACUUAUUUGUUCCUCAUGGCUCACUGAGCCUGCUCUCCUGUACAACCCAGGACCACCUGCCUGCCUAGGGUGGAUCCACCCACAGUGACUCCAGUUUGAGCCAAGGUCACGAAACAAAAGGAGCACACUGUACUUCUUUGUGAAGGACUUGUGUAAGUAUGGUAAAGUCAGAACUUCAAGGUUUGGGGCUUGUUCUAUAAGCUACCUUUUGUUUUUUAAAUAUCUCUAACAGACAGCCGAAGUUCAUAACCACUAUUCUAGUAGCUGGACAUACAACAGAAUUGGGGAACCCAUCAUAAAACUCACAGAGAUAUGAGGAUCAACUUCUGUCAGGUGAUUGACAAUUCCUAUAGUGAGCCUUGAACUUGUGCUCUUUGUGUCCCAGCCACCUAAUUAGCUAGGAUUAUAGACCUAUACCAACAAGCCAAACAUGGCUAUGCUUCUUAAAUGGACAUUGCAAAGAUGGUUUCUUUUUUCAUUAAUACUGCAUCACUUGGAUUCAAGCAUGACGUAUGGGAAUGAUAGUACACCAUUGAAUUGAGUACGUCUGGCCUGCUGUACUCAAACUCAAUCCCAGUGAAGACAGCCUUUUCCAUUCACUGAAGUUCUAUAGCAGCAACUUAAUUUUGCAGGACAAAUGUAAGUGAAUGAUAACUGCUAAUUUCCUGAUUUCCAAGCCUGAGACUGUGUCUUCACUGAGGAAUCCUUGCGAUAUGAACGCUAGUGACUUGGAGAAGUUGUAGGAAGUAUGAGCAACCUCAAGAUAUAAAAUGUAAUUGGCAUUUUUUAUGAGAAGAAGAAUUUCAGAGAACUAUUAUUUUGUGUUGCUGGAUUAGGGCACAUGCAGGCCUCUUCAAAAGCACACUGUGUAGAAGGAGAGCAAUACCAUGGGAAUGCACGCUGUAGGGCUCUCUUCAAUUGUCACUCUAAAAACAUCUAAGAAUUCCUGUGUCUACCUUUGUAAAGUGAGCUCCUUCCUUACUCUUAAAAAACAGCACCGAAUUAACUCAUAUUUAUCAGUUUUAAAAGUGUUAACAAUAUACCAUUGUACAAAGGGCUUAGUUUUAACAUAAAAAUCAAUACAUGUAUAAGUGUUAACUUUAAACUUAAGGCAUGGUGAAUUUUCCAUGUAGCAUUUUCAAAAUGUAUUUGGAUGAUUAUUUUUUGUUAUGUAUAAUGAUAUCAUCAUUAUAAAUGUUGGUCGUCACACAAGAAAACCUAAAUAAAUUGAAACCAGACAAUCAGUAUAUGGAGAAAUUAAAGAGAACAAUGGUCAACCACCUACAGAUAGAAGUAGUUGUAAUAAAAGGAAUGAACUUAUUCAUAAAUGUACAUUGCUGGAAGGUAAAAGCAUGAAUUUUCUUUGGGUGAAGAGCCCUUGAUAUUUUUUUUUAAUUUUACUUAAGAGUUAAUGGAAAUUCAGUGUUAACGAAAUUUCAGAGCCAAAUUUAUUCAGUUUCUUGUUUUCGUCUCUAAAUGAGGACAGGGAAAUUCAGUCCCAGAAUUUAUACUGAUAUUUGUUAGAAAAAUGUAAACUUAGAAAACACAGUUUGGCUUUUUAGUAUUUAUUUAUUUUGUGUGUAUGAAUGUUUUGCCUGCAUGUAUAUAUGUGCAGCGUGUGCAUGGUGACUGAGAAAUAAAAAUGCAUAAUUCCCUAGCACCAGAAUUGUGGGUAGAUGUGAACCAUGUGGAUGCGGGGAACCAAUCUACCUAGUGAGU